rnacentral:snRNA from 1 species
GUACUUCCAAAGUACAUAUACUAAAAUUGGAACGAUACAGAGAAGAUUAGCAUGGCCCCUGCGCAAGGAUUACACGCAAAAUCGUGAAGCGUUCCACAUUUUU